rnacentral:rRNA from 1 species
UACGUAGGGUGCAAGCGUUGUCCGGAAUUAUUGGGCGUAAAGAGCUCGUAGGCGGUUUGUCGCGUCUGCUGUGAAAGUUCGGGGCUCAACCCCGGAACUGCAGUGGGUACGGGCAGACUAGAGUGCGGUAGAGGAGACUGGAAUUCCUGGUGUAGCGGUGGAAUGCGCAGAUAUCAGGAGGAACACCAGUGGCGAAGGCGGGUCUCUGGGCCGCAACUGACGCUGAGGAGCGAAAGCGUGGGGAGCGAACAGG